CGCAACGCGAAGAACCUUACCAGGUCUUGACAUCCUUUGACCACCUAAGAGAUUAGGUUUUCCCUUCGGGGACAAAGAGACAGGUGGUGCAUGGUUGUCGUCAGCUCGUGUCGUGAGAUGUUGGGUUAAGUCCCGCAACGAGCGCAACCCCUAUCUUAUGUUGCCAGCACUUUGGGUGGGAACUCAUGAGAGACUGCCGCAGACAAUGCGGAGGAAGGCGGGGAUGACGUCAAAU
rnacentral:rRNA from 1 species